rnacentral:lncRNA from 1 species
CGGAAUAAGCGUUGUAAGAUAGCAAUGUAUAGAGUUAGAGCCCAACAACGGUUCACAUGCGUUGGUGGCUACCCAACAAAACAUGAUUAUAAAUGAGUACUACAAUGCUAGUGCAUUGCAUGAAAAAUACAUGGUAUUUAUAUAUCACCAUCAAGAAUUAUUAGGACAAUGUCGAUAUUGCACAGGGAACACUGUAUAAUAAACAGAAAUUUCUCAUAUAUUAAAUCAACUUGGUUGCAUUACAAAGUACACCAUACAAAGAUUACAAGAUGUGAAACUAGUAGUAAUCCCAUUCUUGACCUUGCAACCUACGUGUCAGCCAUUCUGAAACAUAAUGAUCUAACAUUGACACCAAAAAUAUCAGAUACAUAAUGAUUGAAACAUUGGCACUGGAAAUGGCAUUCUAAGACACAAUGUGAAACUAUCUAGUAGCACCCCUAUUCUUGACCUUGCAACCAACAUCUGAGACAUGCACCAUCGAAUAUUGGAAUCUAUCUACAAAACAAAGAAAUGAAAUAGGUUAAUAGGGCAGAAAAAUUGAAAGGAGCAGCAACAUAGAAAGGUUGAAGGCAAUGUGAUAAUUAAUCUUGCUGCAUGACUAAUAAAUUUGACCUUUUUUGUAGUUGUAAAAACUUAUAAGAUUUAGCUUUAUAUUCGGGGUUAAUCCUUUGGAUUGAAGUAAAAGCAGCGAUCUUGUUCGGAAUUGUCCAGUAUCACAUUUGUAGCUAACAAUGGUCAUUUUAACUCACAGUAAACUAACUCAGUUAAUUUCAUUUUUAAGUUUCCCCAUGUUAAUAGAAACAGAGUGAUUUAUAGGGGUGGGGGAAUGUAAGGCAGGCAUACAGUAGUUGAUGAAUUGUUUUACCUAAUCUAGUCGCAAAGAUUCUUAUCUCACAGAAGCAGUACGACCAUUUUUACAUGCAAGAAAAGUGUUCUCUUGUACUAAUUAUGUGAAAAAAAGAGAAACAUGUCCAAAAUAAUAAAAUAUAGUAAUGCUAUUAAUACUCCAAAAUUUCCAUUAAAACUGGUGAAGAAUCAUUCGCUCAAUAUGGAACUACCAUCAGAAAAUACCUCCUAGUAAAUCCAGCUUGGCACUAGUAGUCUUCUAUGUUUUAGCGCCAACAACAUCGACUUGGAACAAUCGAGUCUCUGUAGCCUGCUAAUUUGGCAUGUGCAUUAGUAAUGUAUGUUCGCUUUUGCCCACAGAAUCGAACAUCAAAAUAGCUGAAUACAUGUGCACGAAGUCCUUUAGCGUACUCUUUCUUAUCUUAUUUUAUACCAAAACUCUUACAUGACCUUGUUCUUAUAUGGAAAAACUCUUGCACGACCUGGUUCCACGAUAUGACAUGCUAGAUGGCCGAAACAAUCUAAACCUACUCCUACUUAUAGCAUCUAAAACGACACAGACUCCAGCGCCCUUUCCUACACUAGUAAGGCAUGCUAACUCCAAGACAUAGUAGUACAACAUGUAGGCAGCUAGCUAUGCAAACUCAUUGAACCAUAUAUGGAUUAGUACGACCCACCCAAGUACACAAAUUCUUAUGACAUGCAAGCCAGACUUGUUGGAAAACUAACUAAUCAAUCUAACCAAAUUAGACUCAAACUUGGCUAGUUAAACUAGCACGGACUCCUACUAAACUACUUGAAAUUAUUCUAACAAUUUAGAAGACCACAACAUUCAUGCAGACUAAGUAGUGCCAGCGUAUUAGUAUAUGCCAACAUUUAAUAAAUAGGAUUGGCUUUCUUAGUUACUUGUUUACCGAGAACGUGGAAACUUAGAGCAGUUCCAGUACGCUCAUCUUUGUCACCAUGGUUGCUGGAUGCUGAAACUGUUGGCCGAAUAGGUAGAGGAGAAGGCCCUGAGUAUUACAGAGAAGAGGGGAUCCUAGUAAGAUCCAAUAGUUUCGGAUCAGUGAAUUCGACGUACCUGACACACUCGCACAGUCGUCGCAUCUGAUCGCUUAGCUGUCUGUUUAUGGUUGUUAGUAUCAUCCAACCACCGUAGUGUGCCCUGUAUGUCAGGGAAGGAGAGUGCACAAGAGGAAUAUUUUUAAUGUUUACGUUCUUGGAUGAACCAAGUACAUGCUCAUUGUGUUCUUGGAUGAACCAAGUACAUGCUCAUUGUGUUAACAGUUUAAGAAGAAUAUAGUACAAACAUGAGAAGAUGUGAGAGGCACCUGGUCAAGAGUUUGUGUGCGACCUAUCAUGCAUCAUUCUAGUAUUUGUAAACAUCUGUGGCUCCUCACAAAAUACAAAAUUAGUACAGAAAUUGCAGGAAUUCAGAAGUACCUGUAUUUCCAAAAAAAGAGCACUAAACUCGAUUUAGAGGUGAGAUUUCAACAAUAUGAGUCAUAUACAUAUGACAAGAAUAUCAAGGUAUGAUGUUCUUGUAUCGCACCUUCAAACUUUAUCAAUUAUUUGACAAUUUAUAUUGGAUAAUAUGAGUGUAAGAAUUAUUUCCAUCUGAGCUCUUGCAUAAACUUCAAGAUUGUAGUGUGCAAAUUUUAACUGAAUAAGAAACUGAAACUAACAUAAGUUUUUGUCCAGGGAAAACAAAUAUUACAUCAACCAGAAAAAAGAAUAAGAUACAAAUUCAUGUUUUCCUUACUGUAACAUGCGAAAGGAUCCUCGCCAAGCUAUAAACAAAUGAGUUAAAUAAUUCUUAAGGCUUCUUCUGCAUGGAUCGAUUUCUCCUGAUUGUAAUGCAUAAGUGAUGUACAUCGAUCUGUUAAGAAACAACAGAAGCACACACUUAGUAAAAGACAAUGUCAGAACCUGUGAGUGUAGAUGGAACAAAGGGUUAUAGAAUAAAUACAAAUAUUGGGACGGAUGAUGCAAGUGGGACUUAUUUAUUUAGUAGAUUGUACAUGUUACACCAAGUAAAUAACGAUUCAGUGUAUUGAGAAGGGGAUUCUCCAUUUGAAAUAAUUAUGCCAGUAUCAUGGACCCAUAAUUACACUGACAUGUUGAUUUUUGCAGCAAUAUUCUACAGUGACAUACACAAUCACAUAUGAUAUAUCGCUGAUGGACUAUCUCAAUCCAAUUUGAACUAAGUUGAUCUUUUUUUAUAAGAAAAAACUGUGUUUAUCUUAUUGAACAGGUCAUGCUACAUCUAGCAUGUACUGAUUAAUUUCACUUGAAAAAUACUUAAUUAUCCAUCGAUCCAUCUAUAUAGGAGGAGGAAAGUCUAACCAUAACGCAUAACAGAGUAUUCGUCCGAAAUUAGUACAGAUCAACACAUGGUGAAUCACAUCUAAUCAAAUAAACACCAGAACCAGAAAACGUCAGCGUCGGAGUUGAGGUAGAAGAGGCGGAGUACCAACAUAAGCCCGAGCCGGCUGCCGCGCGUGAGGUGAUGCAGGGGUAGUGGGCCGAUAAACCGGAGCUGUCGGAGCCACGCCGGCGAUGUGUGGCGGCUAGGGUUGUUGCGUGCCGCGCGUGUAGGGGAGCGAUGGCCUCGGGCGAAGGACUGAAGGAGAACAUAGACGGAGUGGGGCAGGCCGGUGAGCAGUGGGUUGGGAGUCCGCCGGAGCUUCCUGCAAUUGGAGUUGGCAGCGACAACCCUGUAGUGCGAGAGACAGAGAGGAAUCAGGGGGAGAGGUGGCCGGGUGUAAAAAGGCUUCAGGGGGAGAGUAUUUGGAUGGAGGGGCCGCAGAUAAGGUGGAGGUGGGUACGGGGAGGUUAGUCCUUCGUGGGGAGGUG